rnacentral:lncRNA from 1 species
CAAUUGAUCAUUCUUGGGUGUUUCUCGCAGAGGGGGAUUUGGUAGGGUUACAGGACAAUAGUGGAGGGAAGGUCAGCAGAUAAGCAAGUGAACAAAGUUCUCUGGUUUCCCUAGGCAGAGGACCCUGCGGCCUUCCGCAGUGUUUGUGUCCCUGGGUACUUGAGAUUAGGGAGUGGUGAUGGCUCUUAACGAGCAUGCUGCCUUCAAGCAUCUGUUUAACAAAGCACAUCUUGCACCACCCUUAAUCCAUUCAACCCUGAGUGGAUACAGCACAUGUUUCAGAGAGCACAGGGUUGGGGGUAGGGUCACAGAUCAACAGGAUCCCAAGGCAGAAGAAUUUUUUCUUAGUACAGAACAAAAUGAAAAGUCUCCCAUGUCUACCUCUUUCUACACAGACACGGCAACCAUCCGAUUUCUCAAUCUUUUCCCCACCUUUCCCCCCUUUCCAUUCCACGAAACCGCCAUUGCCAUCAUGACCCGCUCUCAAUUAAUGGGGUUUCAUCUCUGCAGAACGUUUAGACUGUAGUUAGAAGCAUUUAUCACCGUUGGACUGCAUAAGUACUGUCACUUGUUCCCUUCACAACCAGUGUGAUACUGAGAUGAUGCCGUCUUAUUACUUUUGGCUUUGCAGUG